UACGUAGGGUGCAAGCGUUGUCCGGAAUUACUGGGCGUAAAGGGCGCGUAGGCGGUUCGUUAAGUCCUGUGUGAAAUCCCCCGGCUCAACUGGGGAACUGCACAGGAAACUAGCGGGCUUGAGUUCGGGAGAGGGAAGCGGAAUUCCGGGUGUAGCGGUGAAAUGCGUAGAUAUCCGGAGGAACACCGGUGGCGAAGGCGGCUUCCUGGACCGACACUGACGCUGAGGCGCGAAAGCUAGGGGAGCAAACGGG
rnacentral:rRNA from 1 species